rnacentral:rRNA from 1 species
GGGUUGUGAGGUUAAGCGACUAAGCGUACACGGUGGAUGCCCUGGCAGUCAGAGGCGAUGAAGGACGUGCUAAUCUGCGAUAAGCGUCGGUAAGGUGAUAUGAACCGUUAUAACCGGCGAUUUCCGAAUGGGGAAACCCAGUGUGUUUCGACACACUAUCAUUAACUGAAUCCAUAGGUUAAUGAGGCGAACCGGGGGAACUGAAACAUCUAAGUACCCCGAGGAAAAGAAAUCAACCGAGAUUCCCCCAGUAGCGGCGAGCGAACGGGGAGCAGCCCAGAGCCUGAAUCAGUAUGUGUGUUAGUGGAAGCGUCUGGAAAGGCGCGCGAUACAGGGUGACAGCCCCGUACACAAAAAUGCACAUGCUGUGAGCUCGAUGAGUAGGGCGGGACACGUGGUAUCCUGUCUGAAUAUGGGGGGACCAUCCUCCAAGGCUAAAUACUCCUGACUGACCGAUAGUGAACCAGUACCGUGAGGGAAAGGCGAAAAGAACCCCGGCGAGGGGAGUGAAAAAGAACCUGAAACCGUGUACGUACAAGCAGUGGGAGCACGCUUAGGCGUGUGACUGCGUACCUUUUGUAUAAUGGGUCAGCGACUUAUAUUCUGUAGCAAGGUUAACCGAAUAGGGGAGCCGAAGGGAAACCGAGUCUUAACUGGGCGUUAAGUUGCAGGGUAUAGACCCGAAACCCGGUGAUCUAGCCAUGGGCAGGUUGAAGGUUGGGUAACACUAACUGGAGGACCGAACCGACUAAUGUUGAAAAAUUAGCGGAUGACUUGUGGCUGGGGGUGAAAGGCCAAUCAAACCGGGAGAUAGCUGGUUCUCCCCGAAAGCUAUUUAGGUAGCGCCUCGUGAAUUCAUCUCCGGGGGUAGAGCACUGUUUCGGCAAGGGGGUCAUCCCGACUUACCAACCCGAUGCAAACUGCGAAUACCGGAGAAUGUUAUCACGGGAGACACACGGCGGGUGCUAACGUCCGUCGUGAAGAGGGAAACAACCCAGACCGCCAGCUAAGGUCCCAAAGUCAUGGUUAAGUGGGAAACGAUGUGGGAAGGCCCAGACAGCCAGGAUGUUGGCUUAGAAGCAGCCAUCAUUUAAAGAAAGCGUAAUAGCUCACUGGUCGAGUCGGCCUGCGCGGAAGAUGUAACGGGGCUAAACCAUGCACCGAAGCUGCGGCAGCGACGCUGAUGCGUUGUUGGGUAGGGGAGCGUUCUGUAAGCCUGCGAAGGUGUGCUGUGAGGCAUGCUGGAGGUAUCAGAAGUGCGAAUGCUGACAUAAGUAACGAUAAAGCGGGUGAAAAGCCCGCUCGCCGGAAGACCAAGGGUUCCUGUCCAACGUUAAUCGGGGCAGGGUGAGUCGACCCCUAAGGCGAGGCCGAAAGGCGUAGUCGAUGGGAAACAGGUCAAUAUUCCUGUACUUGGUGUUACUGCGAAGGGGGGACGGAGAAGGCUAUGUUGGCCGGGCGACGGUUGUCCCGGUUUAAGCGUGUAGGCUGGUUUUCCAGGCAAAUCCGGAAAACUAAGGCUGAGGCGUGAUGACGAGGCACUACGGUGCUGAAGCAACAAAUGCCCUGCUUCCAGGAAAAGCCUCUAAGCAUCAGGUAACAUCAAAUCGUACCCCAAACCGACACAGGUGGUCAGGUAGAGAAUACCAAGGCGCUUGAGAGAACUCGGGUGAAGGAACUAGGCAAAAUGGUGCCGUAACUUCGGGAGAAGGCACGCUGAUAUGUAGGUGAAGUCCCUCGCGGAUGGAGCUGAAAUCAGUCGAAGAUACCAGCUGGCUGCAACUGUUUAUUAAAAACACAGCACUGUGCAAACACGAAAGUGGACGUAUACGGUGUGACGCCUGCCCGGUGCCGGAAGGUUAAUUGAUGGGGUCAGCGCAAGCGAAGCUCUUGAUCGAAGCCCCGGUAAACGGCGGCCGUAACUAUAACGGUCCUAAGGUAGCGAAAUUCCUUGUCGGGUAAGUUCCGACCUGCACGAAUGGCGUAAUGAUGGCCAGGCUGUCUCCACCCGAGACUCAGUGAAAUUGAACUCGCUGUGAAGAUGCAGUGUACCCGCGGCAAGACGGAAAGACCCCGUGAACCUUUACUAUAGCUUGACACUGAACAUUGAGCCUUGAUGUGUAGGAUAGGUGGGAGGCUUUGAAGUGUGGACGCCAGUCUGCAUGGAGCCGACCUUGAAAUACCACCCUUUAAUGUUUGAUGUUCUAACGUGGACCCGUGAUCCGGGUUGCGGACAGUGUCUGGUGGGUAGUUUGACUGGGGCGGUCUCCUCCUAAAGAGUAACGGAGGAGCACGAAGGUUGGCUAAUCCUGGUCGGACAUCAGGAGGUUAGUGCAAUGGCAUAAGCCAGCUUGACUGCGAGCGUGACGGCGCGAGCAGGUGCGAAAGCAGGUCAUAGUGAUCCGGUGGUUCUGAAUGGAAGGGCCAUCGCUCAACGGAUAAAAGGUACUCCGGGGAUAACAGGCUGAUACCGCCCAAGAGUUCAUAUCGACGGCGGUGUUUGGCACCUCGAUGUCGGCUCAUCACAUCCUGGGGCUGAAGUAGGUCCCAAGGGUAUGGCUGUUCGCCAUUUAAAGUGGUACGCGAGCUGGGUUUAGAACGUCGUGAGACAGUUCGGUCCCUAUCUGCCGUGGGCGCUGGAGAACUGAGGGGGGCUGCUCCUAGUACGAGAGGACCGGAGUGGACGCAUCACUGGUGUUCGGGUUGUCAUGCCAAUGGCACUGCCCGGUAGCUAAAUGCGGAAGAGAUAAGUGCUGAAAGCAUCUAAGCACGAAACUUGCCCCGAGAUGAGUUCUCCCUGACUCCUUGAGAGUCCUGAAGGAACGUUGAAGACGACGACGUUGAUAGGCCGGGUGUGUAAGCGCAGCGAUGCGUUGAGCUAACCGGUACUAAUGAACCGUGAGGCUUAACCUUACAACGCCGAAGGUGUUU